UACGUAGGUCCCGAGCGUUGUCCGGAUUUAUUGGGCGUAAAGCGAGCGCAGGUGGUUUAAUAAGUCUGAUGUAAAAGGCAGUGGCUCAACCAUUGUGUGCAUUGGAAACUGUUAGACUUGAGUGCAGUAGAGGAGAGUGGAAUUCCAUGUGUAGCGGUGAAAUGCGUAGAUAUAUGGAGGAACACCAGUGGCGAAGGCGACUUUCUGGUCUGUAACUGACACUGAGGCGCGAAAGCGUGGGGAGCAAACAGG
rnacentral:rRNA from 1 species